rnacentral:tRNA from 1 species
GCAGAUAUAGCCGAAUGGUUAAGGCGACUGACUCGAAAUCAGUUUCCAUCUUGGAGCGUAGGUUCGAAUCCUACUAUCUACG